rnacentral:lncRNA from 1 species
AGGAUAUCAUAGAUAAAGAAAUAAAGACUUCAUAAAAAUAAAACUUGGUAUCUCGUGCUAAAGCCUAUAAAUGUAAAUAUAAUUAUUUACAAAUGGGUCUACAAGGUGAAACAAAAGUCAAAUGAAAAUAUAGAUCAUAAGACUUGUUGGAAGUAUAUAUUUUUUAAUUUUAAAAAAGUUUAUGAGGAAACUUUUAGCUAUAUGGUCAAGAUGACAUCUGUUAAGAUGAUAAUUGCUCUAGCAACUAAUUUUAGAUGAAAGCUUUAGCAACUUGAUGUAUAUAAUGCCUACCUAUAUGGUGAAAUUAAAAAUAAUAUUUAUAUGGAACAAUCACUAGAGUAAACUUUUAUUUUGAAACCAAAUGAGUUAAGGCAAGCUUCAAAAAUAUGGUAUGAAAAAAAUGCUUAAUACGUAUAUUUUUAUAAUUAUUUUGCUUCUCAUUCAUAUCAUAGCUUAUUUAUUAAAAAAUAAUGAAGCCUAUAUGUUAUUGUUCUUGUAUAUGUGGAUGAUAUGAUAAUCACUGGAAAUGAUGAAAUAGAAAUUUUAAAGUUUCAUAGUAAUAUUUUUCUCCGAUUUGAAAUAAAAGUCUCGUGGGAGCUUAAUAUUUUUCUUUGUCUAGAGUUUUCUUAGUCUAGAGUUGAUGAAUAUACAAGAAAGUAUAUUUAUCUCCCAAAUAAGCUAUAGAAAGAAAAUUAUUAAAAAGUUUGGGAUUAACAAAAGUAAAAAUAUUUCUACUCCACACGAUGCAAAUAUAAAAGCUAAGUUAUAAUGAUGAUAAUUUUUUUUUUUGACUCUCGAUCUUUUUUUUUUGACUCUCGAUCUUUUUUUUUUAUUGGUAGUCUCAUACAUGGUUCACCUUAUUAGUCUAUACUAGUGUUUCGAUCGAUCGUCGAUAUGAUAUGUACAGAUAUACUAACAUAUGAUAUAAUGAGGUGUAUUGAUAUACUAGUAUAUACUAUCCAUAUCAAUUCCUUAUCGAAUCGAUGCAUACCAUCCAUAGGAAACGGUUCAUCUUAAUAUGAUGAACAUUGGUCUCAUCUAUUUAAUAAUUAUAAAAUUAAAUAUUAUAUUUUUAAUUAGUUUUGUAAGUCGUUUUAUAUGAUCUCUAAGGAAGUACAUCUUAAUGCAGUAAAGAUAAUUUUAAAAUAUGUGAAUUCAAUUUUUGAUUUAUGAUUAUUCUAUAAGAAGGGCAUUCAUAUUAAAAUAUUGAAAUAUAUGGUUAUGAAUAUGCUAAUCUAGGAGAUAAUUUGGAUAAUCGUAGACUCACUUUUAGCUAUGUCUUUUUAUAUAGUACUGCUUGUAUCUUAUGGUAUAGUAAAAAAUAACAAUCGAUCUUUCUUUCUAAUCGAAGUAGAAUAAAGAACUUUCUUACUAUUGUCCUGCGCAGCGUCGCACCCGAGCAGCAUUAUCCUUGCCUUCGCGGGGUGGAGAUGUACUCGAGCGGCACCAUUCCACUCUUUGCAAGGCGGCAUUGUACCCGAGUGAUGUCGUCCCAACUUUUGUGGGGUGGUGUCGUACCCGAGCGAUGCCACCGUCAUACUUGAGCGGCGUCGUACCCAAGCAACACCAUCCCAACUUUUGUGGGGCGACAUUGUAUUGAUGUGAUUCGCCACAUCGACUUCGAAGCUUUUCAUUGGCGUCGAUGUGGCUAUGGAGCUACCUGAGGGCAUGUUACCAAAUUGUACCCUAUCACAGUAAAUGUUUUUCUACACACACAAUCUCGAGAAGCGCAUCUCAUUUCCAUUAUUUUCAAAUCGUAAACCCCUUUUAGUACUUGAAAGACUCUCAAUCAUCUAUUUUUUUUCUUUCUUUUUUAUAUCAAUCAAUUUAUAAGGUGAAUUGGCUCAGUUAUAAUUUUUUACACUAGGAUAUAGUUUUUUUAAUAAUAUAAAAAUACUGUAAUGUAGUAACAAAAUUACUAUUUUACAGUGUUUUUAUACUACAUUACAAUAAUUUUCUAUUACUGUUAAAAAAUAAAAAUAUUGUGUUAUAGUAUUUUUAUAUUAUGUUAUAAUAAUUUUCUAGUAUUAUUGAAAACAUCAUAAAGUAUUUAAAAAAUACUAUAAACAUAAUUUAUAUAAAAAUAGUUUUUAUAAUAUUAUAAUAUUUUUUGACAUUAUUGAAAACAUUAUAACAUAAUAUAAAAAUACUAUGACUGGAGUAGUUUUGUGUGUGUAUGUGAUUUUGUCACCUCUUUUAAUCUUUUGGCUUGGUAUGAGUAUGGCAUAUAUUUUUAAUUUUUGAGUGGAUAUGAAUAAUGAUAUACCCCAUUUUCUCACAAAUUUUCUUAGGCUUAUAUAUAAUAAUAAUAAUAAUAAUAAAAUAGCUUUCUAUAAUAAUAAUGAUUUCUAUAAUAAUAGCUUUUACAUCUUGUUAUACGUUAUUUUUGUAAGAUCACGGUGAAAAAGAAUUAAGGAAAAAAAGCAAAAGAAAGUAUGUAAAAUAACUGACAAUAAUAAUAAUAAGAUAUUUAUUUCUAGGUGGAACCGUUGUUUGUUGUGCUUGUCGGCGUCUUCCUUUGAGAGUUGAGAGCCCACGUCAGCUUUCUGUAAUAUCGCAUUCCCGGCAACUUGCAACCUUUUGCCCCUUUUGCGCAUAACCUAAAUUUGGUCAGAAUCCUCCUCCGCCUCCUGGUCUUCAAUCGAAUUGGUCCGAAUCCCAACGUCGAAAUCGAUCGAAAUAUCUCACCUUUGUCGUCUUCAUGCUUCCUCUCGAUCCAUCAUGGAUCUGGACACGCUAUCCCCACCUGGCCCCUCCUCCUCCUCCUCUUUCUCCGCGGCUGCUGCCGGCCGCCUCUGCCCCUGCGCCUGCCCCUUCUGCUGCCGACCUUCCUCCCCCUCCUGGCGACGCUCCAUGAAGCGCCGGCUCGACCCCGACGCGGCCGAUCACGGCCCCGCCCGGGUGGAGGUCGAGGACGAGGUGGCUGCCCUCCGAGAGGCCGUGGCCAGCCAACAGGAGACAAUCCAGGAGCUCUGCGCGGAGCUCGACGAAGAGCGAAACGCCGCCUGCUCGGCCGCGAGCGAGGCCAUGUCGAUGAUCCUCCGUCUCCAGCGCGAGAAGGCCGAAGCGCAAAUGGAGGCCCGGCAGUUCAAACGCUUUGCCGAGGAGAAGAUGGACCACGACCAGCAGGAGCUGAUCGCGCUCGAGGACCUCCUCUUCAAGCGCGAGGAGGCCGUCCAGUCUCUCACCUUCCAGAUUCAGGCCUAUAGGCACCGCCUUCUGGGCUACGGUAUCGACCCUGGCGCAGUCGACGUUGCCCCCUCUGGUGGCUCUGUGAACGACGAGCCCGAGACCCCUCAGUCCAACGAGAGUCCCACCUUUGAAUACACUCCUUUGAAGUGCACCUUAACCAAUGGUGUCGAACGCGAAGAGGAUUAUCUCGAUGAGGCUGCUGAUCUUGAAAAAUAUGCGUUCGGUGAAACGCCACAUGACAGAGAGGACCUCGAGAAUUUGGAGCAGCGGAUUUGUCAGCUUGAGGCAUUGCCGGACACCAGCAGCAUGCUGGAGAAGGGCAUCAUCCAGGAGCCACCGGGAUCAUCGAGCCAUUUCAGGCGAUCAUCCACCCAUAGCUGUGACUCAGUUAUGGGCAUGACUUCACAAGAACCAAUGAAAGAGGGAGAAUUCCCUGCCUCGAUGGACAGGCCAUUGGACGACAGUGAUGACACUGAUGACAUGAGCGAUAGGGUGUACACAAUUGAUUCAGUUCAUGGGGUUCCAAUGGUCCAUUCCUCUGAGGAUGGCAUGGAGAAGGGGAAGAGAGGGGAAAUAGAUGGAGGGGCAGAAGGUGGGAGUCCAGAUAUAACGAAUCUGUACACGAGGUUGCAGGCGCUUGAGGCAGACAGAGAGUCGAUGAGGCAGGCUAUAAUGUCGAUGCAAACUGAGAAGGCACAAUUGUUGUUGCUCAGACAUAUAGCACAGCAGCUGCAUAAGGAAGUCUCUCCUGAGAGGAGAAUCACCAAAAAGAAAUCUUCAAUUACAAAUUUCUCUAUUGUUUCCAUGCUUAAGGUACUCUUCUUUUAAAUUGUUCAAUCAAAUUAAUCUUAGUUGUUGGGGAUUUGUAACAUAUUACUCAGGCAUCUGCUAUCACAUUGGAAGAUUAGUUGUUACAUCUUCUUGAAUAUCUAGUCCAACAUUUGAAAUUUAUGGUGAUAAUGAUAACUUAAAGCAUUAGAAUUGUCAUCAUCGGGCCUGAUAGGAUAAUCGAUUCAUUAAAUUUAUUGAGUCUUAAUUACUAACUCAAGAUGCUUAAGUCCAAGGUAACAGUGUCUAUCAUGCUCUUAUAAUUUGAUUUAAUUUUUCUCCCACUUAAAAUGUGAGAUCAAAUUAUGCAUGUUACAAAAAUAAUGUAGCAAAGACAAUGAAAUCUAAACAAUUUUAUUAGAUGCAAAUAUGUUAUAUCAUGGAUAAUAUGAAAAAAAAACCACACAUUAUCUUUAAAUUUUAUUUGUAAAAGAAAAAAAAUUUGUAACUUCCUCAUAGUCAAAAAAAAAAAAAAUGAUGUAGAUUAAUAUGUCAAAUUUUUAUGUUACUGACAAAUUUGUUCCGUAAUUCUUUAAUACUUAGCUUGUUUGUAUAUGGUGUCAAAUGGCAUUGACCAACAAUUUGUCAACAAGCUCCAAGAUAGUGGUGAAGCUUGAGUUCUAUCAUGUAAUAAUUUCUUUGAUGUUUAUGCCUGGUCCAAUCUGCUCUUCUGUACUUAUACUAAUUUACUUGGUAAUAAAUCAACACUUUUUCUGUGAAAGAGAUGGUGAUUUUCUUAUCCUUUUCAGAUGGCUGAUCAAUUGUUUAGGAGAGUUCAUACUUCAAUUUGAAUUGUGCAUCCAACUCUUCAAGGACCAUGGCCUAAUUCUUGAAUUGGUUAGACAACACGAGAACAAGGACUACCAUACAUCAAGUAGAAAAAAUGAUGAUGCAUCACAUGUUUUUCUUUUUGUGGAGAUGCCAUUGAUCUUCAUUGUUUGUAGUGUAUUAAUCAACAAUGUUAUGUUGGUGACCUAUUCCUUCAAAUUUGUAGAAUUUGAUUUCAGUGUCAACUUUUGAGUCAAUGUUGGAGAAAAUUGUCUUUUCAAAUGAAAGAGAUUUAUAUUGGAACUUGGAAAAAAAAGGUUUAAAGUUUAAUGGAUAGGUCAGAAGAAGAUUUCUUUAGACAUUUUGUGAGUGGUUCUCAGAUGAGCUUCAAUUUUAGUGCUUAAUAGUCGACUCAGUACUUGAUUAAUUUUAUAAUAGCUCCUUUGGCUUUCAUGGGAUAACAUUUAAUGAUGAUGAAAUUACAUAGAUCAAAAGCAAGAGAACAAACAAAAUUGUUUCGACAUCAUUUUUUUUACUUAUUUCACUUCCAUUUUUCUUGUCUUGUUUAGGUUUUGAAAACAAAAAACAUGCGUCAUAUUAUUAGUGAGUUAAGGUCCAAAAUAAAAUUUGUUGGCCUUGAUGAAAAUAGAGAAAAAGAAGGCACAUCUAAAUCAAUAGUUUUAGCUCCAAUGGUUAGAGACAAUGGAUUGCCUAGUUCAGUUUAUGAUGCCAGAGUAGUAUAAUUCAGGCAUUGGCUUAAUUUACUAGAGGACUUUAAACAGUGAUAUGUGAUCAAUCAACUUAAUUGGAUGAGCAUGUAUUCUGGGGAAAUCUGACCUGUGUUUUUGGUGUGAUCAGAUUCUAAAAAAAGCCUAACUUCCAAUUGUAGUACUCUGACCUUUGACGAAGCUGCCACCCUUGACAAAGGCUUAGCUGUUGAUUACAUUCAAUAAAUGCAUUGACCCAACCCCAUAAGUUAUAUCUGGUGAUAACCUCAACAGUGGUGAAGGGUAGUAACAAGAGGUUCAUUCUGUUUACAUUAUCAGCAGAGUCUAUGGGGCUUCAGUUCUUUUAGUUAGAAUUUAUUUUCAUAGUCCGAGCCAAAAAAAUGUAUGUAUUUGUGCGUAUAAGAAUAGAUUAAAAAAAUAAAUGAGAAACCCUAUUGUGCAUCCUUCUUCAACACAUGGUGCGAUUUUGAACUGUAGAUUUGCUUUGUUUUUUUUAUUCUGAAAUUAGUAUUAUGCGUGUCAGGGUAAAUCGGUAUUGUCUUUAUCUCACCCAUGUAUAAGUAAGUAGUUUUUCAUGUAGCAAGUUUCUUUGAUUAAUUUUCUUAAUAAAUGGUUUUUUGUGGAUAAAUAAUAACUCUCCUAAGAUGUAUGGCAUGCUAAGGUACAUGUACUGUGCAUCAUAAUGAAUUUCAAAUACAUUUUAAAUUUUAAACCAAAGGAAUAUAUUUAUUCCAGCGAAAAUAGUUGCUUGAGUUUCUCUGAAUUGACUAGAUUUGAUGUCUUUUUAGCUAGUUUUACAAGUUGAACAAUCUCAAAUGAGUGUUGAUAUGGGGAUGUUUACCAAUUCUAGUACAUUAUGAACUCAGUGAGGAACCUUUUCUGGCUUACUUUAAUUCCACCAGGACUUAGAUUACAUAACUUUCAUCAGUUGGCUUCUCUUUUAGAAAAACUAGUAAGGUACUAAAGUUCCACUGAGAUUGAGACUGAAAUUGGCGAAUGCUAGAAACUCUUCGUUUUAAUUCAAACAGACAAACAAAGAUCCAGUUAGUUUCAAUCAAAGAGUCUAAAGGGACAAGGUCCUAGGUGUGCUUGAUUGUCUGAUGGUAUCUCAUUUAGAAAAUUUCUGCCGGUAGAAGUACUCAAAAUUAUGAAAACUAUUGUUGUUUUGGCAGUGUAAUUGAAAAUCCUGUCUCUAAAUUUUAAUUCCAUUUUUUCUGUUAGAAAACACAAAACAAACACUACACUACCAAAUGGGAGGAUACAUGUUCAGUGAUACAAAAGGACCCUACCCUUGGGAUAUACAUUCCAGUGAUUCUUUAGCUUAGCGAGUUGGAUGCUAGAAGUUCAUGAUCCAUGACAACUCCAUGUGGUCAUAACUUAGGUCUUUGAAGAUGUGCAAAUGAAAGGCUAGAACUUUCAACUUAAUGUUUUGUGUACUUCACUUCUUUACUAAUUGUUCUUUUUUUCUUGACGCAAUCUCUAUUGUUGGCUUGCUCAACCUUUCAAAUAUCAUUGUCAUGAUCUGGUGAAGUUCUAAUAUUUUGCCGAUCUCUAUUGGAUUCUUCAAAUCUUGAAGACCCACUGUUCGUGGAAGACAUAAAACUGUAAUUUGUGAAAGUUAUUUUUGCACACAUCUUGAUAUAUACUGCAUAUUUGCUUGAAAGCUCCAUUGUUAUAGUUCAAGAGUCAUAAUUCCUUGUUCUAUAGUAUCGUUGCCUUGAAGUUAAAAGGUUCUUGUUGUCUUGCCUUUUUCAGUGGAUAAUGUCAUUUAUUGUCUGGAGAAAGAAAGCGUCACGAAUUAAGUAUGUGUAUGUUCUGUUAUUUUUUUUCUAUUUUAUUUUACAUUUUUGUCUAUCAUCUUAUGAGGAUGCUAUAAUAUUAAAUGUUUAUUAGGUACACAUUUGGGUCAUCAAAUAACGUCGGGUUGCUGCUGCUUCUGGACAAUUCACCUCGAAUUAGUAACUGGAGUUGUAUCACUAGAACACAAGGAUGAUCCCAGCUAUGUUGUUCCACUAGUUUCUGUUGAAAGCAGAUAAGAUUGAUGUUAGCGUGUUGUUGGUUGAUCAUACUUUUGUGUUUGGAAGUGCUUUUUUGUUGUGGGGAUCACAUUUGGUCCCUCCUCCGAUUUGCUUGGUUUUCAUAUUGCCUUAUGUAAUUGCUUUCCAAGCUUGAGGGUGUCCAUGUGGUUUACAAGUAAACCAUGGUCUUGUAUAGUUAGAUGUGCUAUUGAUUCUUGAGAUUGAUCUUGUAAAAAGUUUCUUGGUUUGUAUCCAAGGCAAAAUUGGAACAGGUGUUCCAGUUACACUUUUUGAGUGUGAUUUCUCUACCUUCACCUCAUUUAUGUAUGUGGAAUGUUGUACCUUGUUGGUGGUUCACCAUUUGAUUGUGAAUAAGAUAAGAAAAUGCCUCGGGUUGGAGUUGCUGUGGAUUUUUAUUCACAAACUUGUGCUUGUAGUUGCAGCUUGUCUCAAUUUCUGGAUUUGGUUGCUGAUGUUUGUUCCCUAAUGAGGAUUGUUCUUUCUCUCUCUCUCUCUCUCUUCACGAGUACAAAAUACUGCUGCUUGUUAUUGUUUCUAUUUUGUGCUAGGCCGUUUUAUGUGGAGAUUUUGUGACAUGUUGGAUUCAAAGAAUGGUGUUCAUGUUAAUUUCAACGUCUCAGCUGUUUAGGAUAAGCCAUAUGAAUCUUUUCUUGUUAUUAAUCCAAAGUAAUAUUCUUAUUUAAAUUAAGAAUAUUUAAAUAUUUAUCUAUAAUGUUUUUCUUAGCAUUUUUGAAUUGCAAAUCGUCUGUGAAAUAGCGAUUUUUUGUAAGGGUGAAAUUGAUUCUCAUAACAUCAUGAGGCGGUUUGCAGUGGAACAACACAUGUUAUGGUUUUAUGUCUUCAUAUUUGAAAUGACUAUUUUAUUCAAUCACUAAUAAAUUUUCAUCUAUUUGAUUAUAAUUAAGCUUGGCAAUUUUCAUCAAUAUGAUUCAUGAUAAUUUUCUUGAUUUAUGACUUAAUACCAUAUAACUUAACACUAUUUAACGUAUCUUCGUUUACAAUUAAGGAUGAAUUCCUCAUUUGUGCUGAUUACAAGCAAAAUAGGUUUGGUGAGACUCCCCAUCACUAAGCAUUGGUUAAUGUAGUUUUGGAAUGAUAAGGCUCCCCAUCACCACUUUCUUAUCCUUUUAACUUUUUUGGUACAUCCAUUCGUUUUCUAGUUUUUCUUGUUCAUUUAGAUUAACAAAAAAAAAAAACUUAUUUGAAGGCAUAUGUAAUGUUUACACCUUUCAUAAAAUAUGAAAUCUGGAUAUCCAAUCUUAGAUAUAAAAUUAGACGUUGAUUUAUGGAUCAUGAUUACUGAAAAUAUGUUAUCUUGCAAUUUAGAUUGUAGAAGGCAAAUUUCUAUGGAUCAAGAGAUAAAUAUAAAAAUAAUAUUUCAGUUAAUUAUUGGCUCUAGAGAAUAAACAUGACCAAUAGCAAGUUACAAUUUAGGACAGUUAUAGUGACAACAAGAGACUACCAUCCAACAAGAGAAACCAUGCUUUAAGAGUUCUUACAAUUGGAAAUCUCCAACAAAUUGGAUAUAUUCAAAUAUGUCGUUUGAAUUUGAUCAUACAUUGCAAUUCUUGGGGCACCAAUGCUCUCAAAAAAUCGGUAUGGAAUUCAAAACUAUUACAAUAACUGUAUGAAUGAUAGUUACAAAAAAAAGAAUAUGAACCUCACCGACUACCUCAUUAUCCAAUCUUCAAAGCCUCCCUAAAACCAAUACCGAAACUUGCAUGCACUCCUUUCUUGCCAAAACCAGUGUUCCCUUUUUGCAUCAUAGCUACAAAUUCAUUGUAAUCUAUGCGUCCGUCCUGCCAAAAGGAGAAAAAGAUUCAAGAAACAAGAAAAUUGCUUCUCUUAUUGUAAUUUCAGAACUAAAUUAGAAACAUAUGUCGGAAAAAUAAAACUUACAUUAUCUUGAUCCACGUCUCUGAUCAUAUCCUCCAGGCGCACAUCUUCUAUGCCAAACUCCUGACAAGCCUGCUGCAGUUCGUCUUGAGUUAUGUAACCACUCCCAUCUUUGUCGAAGUAUGAGAAAGCCGCAAAUAGAUGAUCCUCUCUCUCUAUCUUGUUUAGAUGCAAAGUGGCAGCAAUAAACUCGCCAUAAUCAAUGGUUCCGCUGUUAUCAACAUCUGCCUAAAAUUUUCCAUUUCCAACCAAGUAGAGGAAUAAGCAAACAUGGCAGGCAAUACAAUGCUCACACUGAAUGAAAUCUUUCACCAAAUAAUUUGCAUGAUAGACUAAUGAUUUUCUUUAGAAAAGAAAGUAAACAUUUACAGGGAAAAUCAACCUUUUAAAAUUUGAUUUUCCUCCACAAUAAAAGGAGAUCAUUGUGAAUGAUAUAAGGUUUCUGAACUACUACAGUGCCCCAUAUAAGCUAAUUAACAAUGCAAAUUAUUUGGGUGUUGUGACAGUUGCGAUUUCAAAGAAUAUCAUAGAUAUCAUAUCAUAAACUCUUAGUGGGGGGCUAAAAUUUUGCAUUUAUCACCUGUGCUUAAAUAUUUUCUAUAAUUUGUAGGGUUUAAUGGACAUUCUGUAAUAAACAUUAUUAGUAUAUAUCAUAUUGGACGAAUUGAACACCAUUUAGCACUAUUAAAGCACAGCCUUGUAUAGUUCAAAGAUUAAAUUACGGUAAGAAUAAAAUUCUUGAAAGUAAGUUUCAGUUAAUAGAUACACAUUAUCUAAGCUCUCAGAAUUAAGAUACCUACCGCCUGCAUAAGAGCAUAAAUUUCUGACUCCUUGAGAUUAGCACCAAACUUUUCCAAUCCAGCCUUCAAUUCUUCAUAGGUUAUCUGUCCACUGUUGUCUGUAUCUAUCAUCUUAAACAUCUCCUUAAGGCCAGCAAUUUCAUCUUCAGAAAGAUGUUCAGCAAUAACCUAUGUAAGGGAGUAUUUAAAUCAAACAAAUAAUACAAAAACAUAUAUUUUUACAUUUAAAUCAGCAUAAUGGCAAACAAAAAACAAAUGAUUGUAGUUCCGGAUAAAGAGUGCAUUUGCACAGAAAGCUACAGGAGAACAUAGGAAUAAACUAUCAAACAAGUAGCACCCAAAACAAAACAGGAAAGAAAAAACAUGAGAAAUUCGACUAUAUCACUGAAUAAUAUAGCUAUUAGAUAUAUAAAGAUAAAAAGACAAGGAUGAAGCUUCUACAAUGAGGGUCCCUUCUUAACAUAAGCCAGAUAGCUAAACCACCAGAACAUAUAAGCCUGCAUCGGUUAUGGGUGGUCAUUCUCACCGCUUAAAGAAGAAAAGAUUGCAGCCUGAAGAUGAAAAAUAUGGCUCAACAAAUUGUAUAAAGGACAUGAUUAUUGAGCAAACUUGUGGUUAACCCAAAACUACUAGCCUUGGGGAAUUAUAUAUACGAAUCAUCUGAAACAGAAAAAUAACAAGUAAAAAACAAAAUUGCAACAGUCAACAUUCUUUGCCAUUGUGAUUAAAAGACAUGCAUGACAACAUCUGCAUUUAACUAAUGAUCACAGCCAGCAUUAUAUAAACAGUUUGCAACUUCCAAAGUUGACUAAAAAUUUGUUCUGUAGAUUUGUUCGUCAAUCAUUCAUUACUUUUGAAGAUUAUGAUUUAUAGCUUACUCUGAUAGCCAUCUUUUUGAGUUUGUUCAUUGCAGAAAAUUGUUUCAAUCGAGAGAGAACAGCAGAAUCCAGAGGCUUAUCAGGAGCCACUCCAUCAAUCUGAACCCAAGGAUGACCUGAGAGGAAGAAAAAAUAUUUAGCAAUUUAAAUCACCAUAGAACUAAACUGUCAAAAUUUUCUAUCAGGCAUAAGAUUUUCACAAUAGGCAAACUAGCUGACAAGCCCAUUCAAGCUUUCCAACUUCUGUAUAGAACUGGAUGAUGAUGCUAAUUUGAGAGCCAAACUCACAAAGAUUAAACAGGUAAUCAGGUGGCAUUGCUUAAUCAGAGUCAGCCUAGGUUAACUGAAGUCACACCUAUCAAAACUUAAGUAAAGUGUCUCUUUAUCCACUGUUAUCGCCAAGGUAUUUUCGUGCAAUAAGUGAGAGACCAUUCUAAAAACAAAUCAUGAAUUUUCAUUCUCAGAAUUGUUUCAGAUAUUUCUGGUGAAUACCAUCUAAUUGAAGCAUUAGAACUUACAUAGAACUUCAUGGGCAGUCAUCCGCCUCCUGGGGUCCCUAACAAGCAUUCUUCUUACAAGAUCUUUGGCACUUUCGGAUAUGCUAGGCCAUGGAUCUGACUGAAAGUCAAGUGUGCCAUGUAAAACCUCCUCAAAUAUGCCUUGCUCGGUUUCUGUGUGUGAUGUAAAUUACAGAACAUAUUAACUGAGGUCAUAGAUAAAUAGAUUUUACAGUAAAAGUUAGAUAUAUCAGUAUAAACAUGCAAAUAAACAUGGUGAUAUAUACCAAUGAACUGUUAUAAACUCUAAGCUAACAUAAGUGAAGGAUAAAAUUAUCACCAGCCCAAAAUGGAGGGACACCACUCAGAAGAAUAUAAAUGAUUACCCCUGCACUCCAGACAUCUGCCUCUGGACCAUACCGUUUUUUCAGAACUUCUGGUGCAACGUAAUAAGGGCUACCAACCACAUCAGUGAAUAUUUCUCCUGAAAAAGAGAAUCUGACAAUUAACAGACCAGACAAAGGAUAAUUCAAGUCUUGCUUACAAAGGAAGCGAAUGAUAGAUGUAGCUCAUGAGAUUAGAGGAGAAAAAGAAAGAGAUUUUUCCUAUAUGAUUCUGUAUCUAGCUUUCUACAAGGCAUUCCACAUUGAAGCACUUCAUAGAAUAGUUAAAGAUAUCUAAAGGCUCAUACGUAAUGAUGGUAGGCACAAUCUACCAUUAGGCUAAAAUGGAGUUGGACCACUUCUCUAUUCUAUUGAAUUGUCAUUAUAGAAGUGUUUUCUAAGAAAUGGACUAGUUCAGAAAUGUGGCUGGAGAUUGUAUUCAGAUGAAAUACACCCUGGUACAUCUGGAAUCGGGACUUCAUUUUUAAUGUUAGAAUCUAGAUACAUGAUUGUUGUUUCACAGUUUUGCUAGUGGUGUAUCAUGGUCUAAAAACUCUAAAGUAACAUCUCAAAAUAUUAGUGUAUCACAAUCCACACAGAUGCUGAAACCAAGUAAUCUAUGUCUCAUUUCUCUGUAACUAGCACAAUCUUGCAUCUGGACUAUGUGAUUGAUGUCAGAUUAUAGACACGUGCAACUCUGAUCCUUAACCGUAGAAACGAGGAUUAUACAAAGAACUCUAUGAUAAAUGAGAGGAAAAAGAACAGAAGACAAGGACUAUCUAUCAAGUUCACUAAUUGCUGUUGCUAAGUUAUAAAUAAGUUCAUGCUGAUACCACCUCUUUGACAUGUGGUCCAGGGCAGAAGGCCUUUCGUGUCUCCAUCUGCAAUAUAGCCAGGUCAUAAUUUAUUUGAUGACUCUGGCCUGUGCCCAAGUCAUAAUUUACAGCAUUCAACUUUAUUCUCCAAUUCAACUUCUCCGUUUCAAACAACACAGCUCAUAAAUCAGGUUCCUAUUAAGUGCCAUAACCAAUAUGGGGCUAUAGAUGUUGAAGUUAGAGAAAUCUUGAGUUAUAAAAUUUUAAGUGACUUUCUCAAGGAAGAAAAAUGGUUGCCAAUUGCAAAAAAGUUAGUGGUACAAAAUUGCCCAUACUGUACUGGGAGGCAAAGAGAAGAAGAUGUAUAUACUAAUCUAAAGAAUAUUUAGACACUAUUUUCUCAGCUAGAUCCAUGGUGUUGCACAUCCAAUAUACUGAAUGACAAUGAUGUUGAGUCAGGUUAUAACUUAUAAGAGAUCACAAAAAGACAUGAGAUAAUUCAAAAGCAAGAAUAUACACCAAAAUAGAUGCACAUGGAAGAAGAAGAGUACCUGGUUGGAAGAAAAUUGACAAUCCAAAAUCGAUAGUCUUAAGACGUGCAUCCUCCAUUUGGUUAACAAAAAGAAAAUUCUCAGGCUUGAGGUCACGAUGCAUGACUCCCAUUGAAUGACAGGCUUCCACGACACCCACGAUCACCUUUGCAAGCUCUGCUGCCUUUCUUUCAGUGUAAUGCCCCUUCUGAAUGAUCCUAUCAAAUAACUCACCACCAGCACACAACUCCAUGACCACAUGAACAGCAACAGCAUCUUCGUAGGCCUCCUUGAUGGAUAUUACGUUUGGGUUACCAGACAAAUGAUGCAUUAUCUGGAUCUCUCUCCUAACAUCGUCCACAUCCUCCUCAGUUGUCAACUUCCUCUUCAGAAUGGAUUUGCAAGCAUAUUCCUUGCCGGUUGCCUUCUCAAUGCAGAGAUACGUCGUCCCAAACUGUCCCUGCCCCAGCUUGCGACCUAAGCUGUAAACGUCCUUCAAAUUCUCGGUUUUGCUCUUCAAUACAAAUUCAACCUGAAGUCCUGCAACGCUUGAGGCUCUCUUGACAUGGUUGGGUUUCGUGGGUUGGUCUGUUGGAGGCCUUUCAGGUGCCGGCUUAGACUCUGCUUCGGGGACUUUGGCUGGCUUCGCCUCGUCAUCUUGAAUCUUAACCGGUUGGGGCGCGUCAGUAUCUGGUUUAGGUGGCGUCGCUUCGGUUCCCUCGCCGGUGGCCUUGCCAUUGGAGGUCGGAAGAUCAUCCUUGUUCGAUCGGUUACGCCAAAUGGUAGCGGACACUGAUUGGAAGAACCCAUUCUUCGAGAGGCUCGGCCCAACACAUGUAUUCCCCAUCCGAUUCAGCAAUCAAAAUUCCCAGCGACUCCUCUUCGGCAUUUUCUCGAGAAACGCCAGGACGUACUCACACAAAAUGCAAUGCUAAAUUCCAGACUCCGGACCAAUAAAAUUUCCAGCUAGAGCUGCAACUCCAAGGGAAAUACACAUAACAGCCGGAUCUCGCGGGCGAACACACGUGCAAAAUUCGAUUUUUACGUGACGCAAUCGAAGAACAAAGAACGAGAACGAAGGGGGAUCAAAGCAAGGCGACGCCCUUCGGCAAAAAGCAACGAGACAACGGAACCAGGCGACGAAAGGAUGGGGAGAAAGUCCAACAAAACCCUAGAAAUCCCUCGGCCGGUGGAAAUGGGCCUGUUCCUGCACAGAAACCUGCUAAUCGCUACAGCACGAUUUGGAGGCGAUGCCUCGUUGGGCAGGGAGAUGCGGAGGAACAGGUGCGCAACGAUCAACGAAGCGGUCCGAUAACCGGCAGUUCUCCGUCUCAUUGAUUGGUUCUUCUUGGAGUCCAGAACGAGGCCGUCCAAUUGAGGAAAUUUCUUAUUAAUUAUUAUUCCAUUUAUUAAUUUAUUAAUUCUUUUUUUCUUUUUUAUGAAGUAUGAUAUCUCUCUCAUCCCCGACACCAUCAGUUCCGUUUUCACCGUCCGAUUACUUUCGUACUAAAAUCACGACCGCAAGCCGAGAGACGACGAAUCUCAACCGUUAUACUCUUCGAACACUAACCACGAAGUUACCCUGGUGCUGAUUGGACUUAUCAGGAAGGCCUUCCGUUGCCUUGUCACGAUUGGUUAGAGGGUGCGAGGACGGGUGGUCGGCGAAGAGUUACAACAGAAUUUUCCUGGCCGUUUACAGUUGGCCCGUCCCAUCUUCGUGCUUCAUUGGCCUCCGACGGUGGGUCACGGAUGGGCCCCAUAAUCUUCAGUAAUCCCCAGACAGGUAAUUAUUUUAGAGGCUAAAUAUAUUCUCUGAUGAUUUAAUGGUGGCAGAAGGAUCCACGUUUUAAUAUACGAGUGGGGUCGAAGGCUGCACGCUGUUCUGGCAGACACUUAGAUCACCCUUGAAAUGUUGUGCGAAGUAUGAUCACCCAAGAAAGAGCAACCAUCGGAAGACCCCAGUAACCGAGUGGGUCAAGUAAGAAGGUUCACCCGCUAGGUUAAGUCUUAGGGUAAGAAUAAGAUCUAAGAUACGUAGAAAAAUACGCCUAUUCUGUACGCGUAAACUAUACGACGGCGGCGACGUAGAAGCGGUUCCAUUACAAUACGUUUUCUUUCCUCACUCUCACUAUCUCCUUCCCUACCUUUCUCUCUCUCUUUCCAUCGCGAUUAUAGCAUUCCCAUGAUGAAUUAUACAUACAUACAAAUAUCAUAUACGGCUAUUUAAAGUUAUUAUUCUUCUAUAUACGCUUCUGGAGCCCUGAAGUCUCAUUUUAUGUCGAUAUGGCUCUGAAUCCGAUCCUUCUGUGCAUAUCAGUGCAACAUUAUAGAUGUGGAUUUCAAAGUUGAUUGCUUGCUAUCAUUGUCUGACUUUGGUCAAUCUGAUACGGUGCGACCGUUGUGUUCCUGUUGAACUAGAAUUGGGUUCCAAAUAAGGAUGAUUUGGAGAUGGAAGAUCAUAUCAUGUUACUACUACCUCACACAAAACGUAGGCAGGUGCGGGUGCAAUUGUAUAUGUGCAUUGCUACAUUCAGAUUCUCGAUCUAUUGCAUGCAGUAUGGUAUGAUAAAUAGAAUGGAAAAGAGUUGGAGGUGUUCUGAUGGAUGAGAUUCUAAAUCGUUAGAUGUGUUAACAACUAAACAUUUACAAGAAAGGUAGCUUAAUGCACAAGGCUUUUGACAAUGCAUGAUUUGGAAGGGACAAUGUAUACGGUUUUGCUACGGCAAGUACUAGAGAAAUCGUUUCAGUAACUUGAGCUGAAGAAGAAGGGUUGGGGGAGGAUGAGGAGGAAGAAGAAGGAAAGGAGGAGAUGUAUUGGUCAACUAACGACAGACGAGAUAGCUCCCGAGGAGAAGAGACACAAACCCUGAAUACAAGCUUUUUAUGUGAAAAAAAGAACUGGAUCCGAACCACCCAUGAAGGGGCAAUUCAUGUCUCGAUUUACGCCUUGACCGAUAAAUAUCGGUCCAUCCCAACUGGUCCAGUAGGUUUCGAAUUCCUUGAUGGAUACUGUCAAUGCAAGUUCACCAAAUUGUAGUGUCUAAUGUCUUCGAUGACAUGAAAUAAGUUCACCAAAUUGUAGUAUGAAGGGUGUAUAACAUAUUUGAAUGUGUAAUAUAGUUAAUAUAUUUAACUUUUGUUAUCUUCUUUAUUGAUGUUAUGAAGGAUUAUUUUUUAUUUUUUUUGCAUAAAUUUAAUUUGAUUAUCAUAUAACAGGAUCGAAUUUUGCUAAAUUUCUUAUGUAUAAUGGGAUUGCAUCAAGAUUCUGAUCUUUGAUCAGAAUAAUGAACGUAAGAUGAUUUAAUGCACAACUGUUAUUUGCCAUCACCGAUGUAUUGGUUUGAUGAAGCCGCAAAGACCCUAAAAGUUUACAAGUUGUAAGAUAUGAGAAGUAAUCAGAUGAGCUUGAAUUGUGAGUAUGAAAUACUCUGUUGACAUGAGGUGAUGUUUCAGACAUUGGAAUUGAUAGUGUAGGAGGAUGGAAGACAACACAAGAGAAAACGAAUAUAGUUUUAGUUUCCUAUUAUGUGAUUCUCAUAAUUGAAGACACUCAAAUUUUUCUUGAAGAAAAUUAAGAGAUACUUGUUAAAUCUAAGUAGUAAGCUGAAUUAAUUGAGGGUUCAGAUUCUAUUUUUUUGGAUUCAAUCGGUUGAUUUGAUCUUAGAUCUUGUGAAUAUAUAUGUUUCAAACUUUGUUGCAGAGAGAAUAAUUGGAAGAGAAAGAAACUGAGAAAGAACAGCACGAGAUGAAAUGAUCAGAUCAGAUCAGACAGCUCUCUUUCCCUUCGUCAAGUUCAUUAAAAUGAAUAGAAUCGGAGGAGAACGAAAUGUGGUGCUGCACUCAGGCCUUUGAACGUACGUAGUCCAAGUAUAGUAAACGUUUUUUACCGUGAAGUGACGUUUCAGAUUUCGGUGCAGAAAGAUAGGUAGAGAGAGAGAGAGAGAGAUGACUGCUGGAAGAACAAUGUGAGAGAUGAAAGCAUCAUCGCAGCUUUCUCUCUCUCUCUCUCUCUCUCUCCUCAGCAUUCGUCGAGCCUCAUUUAAAUCAAUAGAAUCAAAAGAUAGAGCAUGGAAGUGACGUUUCGGAGACCGAAAGGAUGGCUGCCAAAAACUUCUCAAGACCGAGAGAGAGAGAGAGAGAGAGAGAGAGAGAGAGAGAGCUACACCUACAACAGCAUCCUUGAAGCUAGUAGCUUGUGGGCAUUGAGUAAUGGUGCAUGUGAUGAAGACACGGAGGGCAAGGUGGUAGGGCACAGGACUGCUCCUCCAUGAAACUUUUGAACCUUUUUAUCGGGAAAAAUGAAGCUGUUGGAUCCAUAUGUUUGUGUACAGCAUCUUUGUCAUUUAAGUAAUCGAGCAAGGUAAAUAACAUAAGUAUAUAUGAUGCUUUACUUCAUUCAUAUCAUGAAAAGGAAUCGCAAAUUGAUGCCAACAAGUUGUGAACAGCGACGUGAGAUGAGAGAGAAAAAAAAAUCCAAGUACUGUACUUUGGGCUGAGCCAUGGCGUAGUGGUACUUUAAAGAAGAGAAAGAGAGACGCAAAAUAAAGUUACAUGGGUUGGUGGCUAGCCAACUAGCCUUAAAUGCACCGCACCCUGAGACAGACGUAUGCAUCACUCUCUCUCUCUCUCUCUCUCUCACUCUCGCAUACACACACAGAGAGAGAUGUAUACAUCCCUCACACAUUUCUUAGACAGACGUAUACAUCCCUCUCUAUCUCUUUCUCUCUCAUGCAUGCACACGUAUACAUCCAGAACAAACAUAUGUGCCCUGAGACAGACGUAUCCAUUCCUCCCUCUUUCCCACACACACGCACACACUGAAGGCAGAAGUACUCUUUCUCGUACACAGAGACACACAGAGGCAGGUAUACGUCCCUCACAAACAUAUGUAUGUAUCCUGAGAUAGCCACCAUAUAUAUGAUUCAUAUGAUGAAACUGUUGUAAUCAUUAACAGAGUUUCUAAAUAUGGAAGUUUAUAUAUAUAUAUAUAUAUAUAUAUAUAUAUAUAUAUAUAUAUAUAUAUAUAUAUAUAUAUAUAUAUAUAUAUAUAUAUAUCAGUUGAAAUUCUAAUUAUCAUCAACAAANNNNNNNNNNNNNNNNNNNNNNNNNNNNNNNNNNNNNNNNNNNNNNNNNNNNNNNNNNNNNNNNNNNNNNNNNNNNNNNNNNNNNNNNNNNNNNNNNNNNNNNNNNNNNNNNNNNNNNNNNNNNNNNNNNNNNNNNNNNNNNNNNNNNNNNNNNNNNNNNNNNNNNNNNNNNNNNNNNNNNNNNNNNNNNNNNNNNNNNNNNNNNNNNNNNNNNNNNNNNNNNNNNNNNNNNNNNNNNNNNNNNNNNNNNNNNNNNNNNNNNNNNNNNNNNNNNNNNNNNNNNNNNNNNNNNNNNNNNNNNNNNNNNNNNNNNNNNNNNNNNNNNNNNNNNNNNNNNNNNNNNNNNNNNNNNNNNNNNNNNNNNNNNNNNNNNNNNNNNNNNNNNNNNNNNNNNNNNNNNNNNNNNNNNNNNNNNNNNNNNNNNNNNNNNNNNNNNNNNNNNNNNNNNNNNNNNNNNNNNNNNNNNNNNNNNNNNNNNNNNNNNNNNNNNNNNNNNNNNNNNNNNNNNNNNNNNNNNNNNNNNNNNNNNNNNNNNNNNNNNNNNNNNNNNNNNNNNNNNNNNNNNNNNNNNNNNNNNNNNNNNNNNNNNNNNNNNNNNNNNNNNNNNNNNNNNNNNNNNNNNNNNNNNNNNNNNNNNNNNNNNNNNNNNNNNNNNNNNNNNNNNNNNNNNNNNNNNNNNNNNNNNNNNNNNNNNNNNNNNNNNNNNNNNNNNNNNNNNNNNNNNNNNNNNNNNNNNNNNNNNNNNNNNNNNNNNNNNNNNNNNNNNNNNNNNNNNNNNNNNNNNNNNNNNNNNNNNNNNNNNNNNNNNNNNNNNNNNNNNNNNNNNNNNNNNNNNNNNNNNNNNNNNNNNNNNNNNNNNNNNNNNNNNNNNNNNNNNNNNNNNNNNNNNNNNNNNNNNNNNNNNNNNNNNNNNNNNNNNNNNNNNNNNNNNNNNNNNNNNNNNNNNNNNNNNNNNNNNNNNCUAUAUAUAUAUAUAUAUAUAUAUAUAUAUAUAUAUAUAUAUAUUAAUAGAAGAUCUAUAUAUGAAGAAAUAUAUGCAUGCGAUUAAAUUCAAGGAAGUAUGUAUAUAUGAAGAAUAUUAAUUUAUAAAUAUAAAUAUAAAUAUGUAUAAUUUGCAAGGGCAAAAAACGUUAUUAUGAGACUUUGCAAGGAUAGGUACGUCAAAUCCUGAUGCCACAAUAUCACUAUUUAUUCCUUGGAAUCCACCGGCGUCGUCGUCGUCUACGGUUGGCUUUCAAUAUAGCAGGCCUGCAACCGCCUGCAACCGCUGCUGCUGCUGCUGAUGGCGGUGGAAGUGAUAUCAUCUUGCGUUGAAUUCACGGAAGACCAAAAAGAAAGAGGGAGAGAUUCGUGGGAGGGAGUGUUCUUGGCGUGUUCCCGGUUGCAGAGCCCUACACAUUCUGAAUCACUGUUGACUGUGACACUUCAUCACCUCACCACAUUCCCAGUCACUGUUGAUAUGACAUUUCAUCAUCUCACCAUUCCCGUUCUCUCUCACUCUCUCAUGCAUAUAUUAAUGAACUUGUCAUCAUGUAUCAUGAGAUUAUUAGGAUUACAGAUGUGUCUGUUUACAUGUAUAAACCCUUUGCUGAUAUUGUUGAAGCCUUUAUAUCUCAUCUAAUUUAUAUUUGUUCUUGUAAGUCCUGAAACUUCCUUCUUGAUGCUUGGUAGAACACUUUGCUGCAUACUCCAAUCUUUGUUAUAUGUAACAUGUUUAGUGUGCUCCCAAACAAAUUGACACUAACUUUAUGUAACUUAUUUAUCUUUAGUGUCUAUUAUGUUUGGAGUACUUGAUAUCUGAUUGAUAGAACUCAUCAAAUGAUUAAAUUCCUACCUGUUAAAUAUCCAAUGCAGUCCUACAAAUAUGAGAUGGAUAACCAAUUUAUUUCUCUAUACUGCUGCAUUUGUAGAUGAGAAAUCUCCCCACAUCACUGUGACAGUGAAUAUCUGAACCCAUGUCAGCUUGUUAUUUAAGAAGCAGUUCAGUCAAUCCUGUGAGAUUUCCCACAAAAUUCAAAGCCAAUUUCUUCUGUAUACCACAUUCCAUCACAAGUCAGCCUAUGAACAUAGACAAAGGACGUAUAGGUUAUAGGAGCUAUGCAUAUCUACUCAGAAGUAUCAGCUAAUGCUCUAUUAUUGGAUUAUGAUUUUAUCUACUCUCAACACAGAUUUCAGCUUUAUGAACAUAGGCUAAGAAUGCAUAGGGCCAUCUUAGUUGUAGCUACAAACAAGCAAAGUAACCAAUAAUUAACUGACGUUAAAUAGUAAUACAAAUAGAUGUCAUAUAUCUAGAUAGAUAUCAUAAAGUGAAGAAGAAAUAUGAUUUCACAAGUGUCUUAUGAAUUAAUAUAUAUGCUGCAUAAAACACCUUUUACCAUGAAACUACAUUUCCACUUACAAGGAGCAGAAAAAAAAACAUUAUCAAGUAUCUACUUAUUCUCCUAAUUGAGCACAUAAUAAGUCUAAGUAAUGCCAAAAUAUAAAAAAAGUAGCUAACUAUUAUAAAAUAUGAAAAAAAUUAUUGUUUAAUCUUUAAGUAUUUUGAGGUAAUUAAGGUGCAUGAAGAUUCACUUCGGACAUAUCAGGAUUAAUUGAGUCUGCAAUGCACCAGCUACUGUUUUAGUGGCUAAAGAUAUAUUGGUGUGUAUGAGGGUGAGAUUGAUGUCUCAACACUAUAAUACUUCAGAUCAAAUAUUGGCUGUGCUAAAUAUGAUCUAUGAUGAUUGAAACUUCAUUAAAAAAAAAGGGGAAAGAGACAUGAUUUUUGAAGCAUUCUUGCAUCAAGGGAAAAAUAUGUAGUGUUCAUGAUGAAGAAUGUGACAUCAAAGAAUUGUCACUAGUAUCAACACAUAAUGCACGAGAUUCUAGCCAAUAUAGGAUUUAAGGGGGGUCAAACACAUACAAUUUACGUGUGACUAAUGUUGAAAUAGACUAGAGUGAAAUAAAAUUAAGCUUAUUAGGUUUGGCAUAGCAUAGGAUUAAUAUAAAUGAUCAUGAGUAGCAAAGUGCUUAGAAGGCUUUUUUUCCUAUUACAAUUAAGUUUCCAAAGUAAAGAUACUUAAAAUGGACUUCAUAUUGACCUGCAGAAUGCAAGUUCAUAUACUGCAGCAUCUACUCACUCUCCAGAUUAAUAGUUAGAAGAAACUCUGAGCUUUUUGGCUUCCUGGUGCAGUGACUGUUGCAGCAACUUGUUCAUCAGUCUUUGGUUGCUUAUUCCCAUCAACUGUUAGCCCAAACUGGAUAUGAGGGAAGUGUGCCCACUGCAAGUCAAACAAAAUAAAGUUAGUUCAAAUGCAGAGAGAAAGGAAGGAAAAAAUGAUUUUUGUAAAUGCCUUUUUCCUGCUGUAAAUUAUCAUGUAGGUGAAUGAAGAAAGGAAAAUAUAUUAAGAGCAUUAUUCUAUUUUUGUUUGUUCUUUCUUGAUGGAAACUUUCAAGUGCUUUAUGUCAAAUAUCAGUAACAUAAGCUACUUAAGAAACUGAAAAAUAAAGGAGUUGCAAAGAAGAAAGGCAUGUACAUUGUACUUGACUUCAAGAAUGUAAUGAAAUUUCAAAGAUAUAAUAAGGUGAUAGUUAUAAAAACAAUCAUGUCCAAUAGGGCAUUGAUGUGAUCAUAAAUAUGUAAAUCGGGUUACGGACAAGUAGAAUUAGCAAAAUUAGUGAAUUGAUCAUAAAUAUAUCUCAAUUCUGGUAAAAUGUUUGUGUGGCUAACUGUAAAAAAUUGAUAAGAACUGCUUGUUCUAUUAGUAAUUUUAAUAUCCAAGUCGGAAAAAUUAAUGAAAAAGGACUUGAGACAACAUAUCACAUAAUGAUGAAAAAGUUCCAUGGUAAGGUUAAACCACUGUGUAUUUCUGAUUCAACUAUGAUUGUUCAUUUUGUCUUACAUUGGUCUCCAAAGAAGCAUUAAUUGAGAGACAGAAACAGUGACGUGAGAUAUACCUAAGAGUAAAUUAAAUUAACCGAAUGAAUGCAAUCAGCUUGGUUUAGUCCAUUUCGGGUUGGAGGAGCCAAAAGAACAAAGAUAAACAGGAUCAAAUUUUACUGUUAUGAAAAUUUUUGCAUGUCAAGAUGGACUAAGGGCUAGUCCUACAUUGAGUUGAACAUAAUUUUGGAUUGUAUAGAUUGCCAAUUGAUAUAUAUGUUAUACCUUACAUCAAAUAUAUGCCAGUAGUUUCCAUUUUUCACUUUCCAUGUAAUGAAUGCUCAGCCCUAGACAUAGUUAACAGGAGUGGCUCCUAUAUACAGCAAAUUGAGCAGGAAUUAUGUGAGCAGAUAUCUGCUAUUAAUCUUUGUUCUAUUUCAUUGUAAACUAGAGUUAAAGAGUGCAUUGAGAACAUUCCUAUGAGCAGUGUACUUGUGACAUAACAUAUUGGAGACAGGGAAUGAAUAUAAGGGGCCAUGCUGUGUAGCAAGCCUCCUUUUGUUUACUGCUUUUGGUUUAAAUUCCUAUCCUUCAUCUAUGCCACAAAUCUUACAGUUCAAACUUCAAACAGUCAAUUCCAUGCUUCAUCUAUUCUACAAACCUAUACAGUUCAAAAACACACAGCAAAAUUGAUAUUAAAGCUGCGUGAAGUAAAUUUAGCCAAAUGUUUAGAGUUUAGAGUUUAGGAUUUACGGUGAAAUCUUAUUGACCAUGAAACCAAAUUUUCACUUAGGGAAAGGAGAUAACGAAUAGAUUGUCACCUAUCUGCUUAUAUCAUCUAAUUGAUCAAGUAAUAGCUUUAACUUAUAAACAAAACAUAUAAAAACUAUAUAAUUUAUGUAUAAAAUUAGAAAAAAAUAAAAAUUAUGGUUUAUUCAUUAAGUAUUUCAAUGUAAUUAUCUUUUAGGAACCUAAGGUAAAUGUUCACUCCGAAUAUACUAGGUCUAAUCGAGUCAAGUUACAUUAAAAUUUCACUUGUAUUUCUAUGAUAAUUCUCAGAUCAUGAUAAAUCAUUUCACUUGUGAAUUAUAAUGAUUGAAAUUGUUGUUUCAUGCAUAAACCCUUUUAUACCAGUAUUAGUUUGAGGAGUACACAAUAUACAAUCUGAUCACACUAAUUUUGGUUUCUAUGUAUUUGGAAUAUCAAAGAAUAUGUUUAAUGGAUGUGAUCUUCCAUUUUGAGCCCCUGUAAUUGAUUUUGAGAUGGUAGAACUGAAACCCUACUCAUGAUCGGAUUCUAGGUUAAAUCUCUCUCUAUCUAAAUUUUUAUAUGCAUACAUAUACACACACAGAGAGAGAGAGAGAGAGAGAGAGAGAGUUCCACAAGCACUUAACCCAUCAUGAAUGAUGACAUUCUGAUACCACAUGAUGUUAGUAUUCCCAGAACAAACAGAAAGAUCACAGUGGUUCAAUCGAAAGAUAACAAUAAGCUACAUAUUUUUGGUUUUAUCAAAGAAUUGAUUCCAUAUUUAAUCUUUUCUCUUUCCUACAUUAAUCAAGCCUCAUAAUGAUUAGCCCUACAAAUAGGCCAAUUUUUUUCUUUAUUUUCUGGUGCUUAUAUCUUUUCAAUCAUCUCACCUAUAUAUACCCCAUCAUAAAAAGCUUCAUUAAAGAAAAUGUUAAUUAAGGUUCAUGUUCAUAAAUAUCUAUGCAUGAGUGAAUUCUUUUUUGUUAGAUAUAAUUGUGUAAUUAAAAUUUCAUCAUCAUGGUCUGCAGUUCACAAUACACACCACUAGUUACACCUGUAUUUUAAUCUAUAUAAUUUCAUCAUUAUAUGUGUGUUGCAUUUUGACUUCAUAGAAAGUACCUUGAGUAAGAUUUAAAAGUAUAUUAGAAGCUCUUUAUAUCAGAUUCAGGUGGGCUCUUCUUGGAAAAAUAGUUGUGGUCAGUAACUUGAUCGAAAGACGAUAUAAAAACAAGUAUAAUAUGGCCAAUGCAUAUGAUUACAUAUAAAUUAAGGAUUGAGAUGUGCUAACUAUUGAUGCGAAAAAUACUUGUUAGAAGCAAAUAUCAUCAUAGGGGUUAGCUCUACUGAUUCAAAUAACAGGUCAAUGCAAUAAAAGAUCGAUGAGCCAAUAUAAGAUUCAAUAUGGUGGUUUGUCAUAGAUGACCUUUUUAAUUGGAAUUUGAUGAUGUGAUCCAUUACAACAUUCAGAUUUUAGUUUUCUAAAAAGUAACCUUCUUACCUUUGAGAAAUGUCUAGAUACUAAUUAAUUUCUGGCUGGAUGAAAGAAUCAACCACUCUUUAAGUUCUUAUAUUAAUGAUAUCUUAAUGAACCAAUUAUUCUUAUAAAUAAUUCAAAAAUAUAUAGUGUCAAUAAUAUGGCAGUGUAAGGUUGAGCUACUAAAACCUUAUCCGAUAAAUUUUUAUACCUACAAUAUCCACUUAUCAAAACUUAAGGGUAUGGAACCUUAUCCGACAAAAUAUUAGACUUAAAAUAUUGGUUCGAUGGUUGUAUACGAUACUCAUUUAUCAAAAGUUCGAUGAUUCAAAACCUCAUCCAAUAAAUUUUAAGGUGUGUUAGACUCACUUACCAAAGGUUGAGAAUCGGAAGUCUCAUAUGAGAAAAUUGAAUACCUAAAAUAUUAAGUAUUGAGAGUUCAAGACCCUAUUCAAUAAGUUUGAGGAUGUCCGAUAACUUGGUUAAUAAAAGCUUUAACUAUUGAUAGUAAGAUCUUAAGAUCAAAUCUCAUCUUAACUCUUUUUUUUUUUACUUUUUUUUUGCUCCUAAUUAACAUCACUAUAUGAUAAAUAAUCAACAAAAUAAAGUAGAAAUAUGUUCUAUAGACAUUUACAAAGGUGAGACAACCUUUAAAAUGUCAAACUAUUCCAAUGAUACUUGAGUUAACUGAAUGGUUGUAUGCUGUUGCAAGACCUUGCAUGGUUCUGUAAUGCUUUGCAUUGGGAUGUUAAGGGUCAUUUUAAUUAGGAGUAAAGCAUCUAUAGGAAUUAGUGUUUGAAAAUAGAUAUAACUAGUCUUGAACAGUUCACAAUCCAAUCUAUGUAAAUGUUGUAUUUUAACAUUGACCAAUUAAUUAUAGCGGUUGAUGAAUUACAUUUUGACCAAAAAAAUUCAAGUUAAUUUAUGAUGUUAACUACUGUAGAUUGUUCUCCAGUCAGGCUGUUUAGCUUCUAUGGUGAUUACACCAAAUUAAUUCAGUAGAAAAGCCUCUAAUUUAAGAUCAUCACUCAAUAAUGAGAAAGAUAAGUAAAUAAUGAUGCUACAUUUAUUAGAUCCCACAUGUUACUACAGUGAAAUUAGUGGAUCAGUCAGAUGCAUCCCCAAGCUAUCUUGUACUGAUCAUAUAUAUUUUGCUCAUGGUAAGUAAUUGAAGAUUUUAACUCAUAUAUAUAUCUCACAAGCUACUAUAAUGAUAACUUUUCUUUCUUUUAUUUAUGUGGCAACAUUAAUUGUGUAUUACUUACAUUUUUUGCUGCAGUGCUGAAUGCUUCUCUGUGGCUGAUCUCUGGAUUCUUAGCCUUUAUCCUUUGUAUCUCCUCUCUGCACAUGCAGUUAAACACUAUGUGAGGCUGUAUAAUUGUCAGCAUUAUGGUUUACUUGAGCUGUAUAAUUGUCAUUGUGAGGCUUAUCAUAUGAAUGUUCCAUUAAAAAAUAAUAAUCAAACUAAUCAAGCAUGAGAUAUCCUCACUUGAUAAACUUGUUAUAUGCAGAUGGCACGCGUUGUCUCUUCUCCGGGGCUUUUUUCGAGAAAAAAAGAAAGAGAAAUCAGUAGAUUAAUCGAUAAUAGUUUAUGCUUAACUAGCAUUGCCGGUGAUAUAAUUAAGAAAAAAAAUGAUGAAAUCAACAAAAAGAUAGAAGUUAUAAGAGAUGGCCGACGAGUGUUAUUGUAAUUGAAUGAUGAAUAAUGUGUUUCAAUCUUUUAGUCCAUAGGGUAUUGUACUCCACACACAUACCAUUGUGCAGUCUGUCUAACCUUUGUUGGAUGAAUGUGUACUCAAAAGGUCCUUAAAAAGGCUAUCAUGCCAAUUAUCUGCUACUAAUCAUGAAAAUUAGAAGAUAAUAAGUUAGGUUUAGAGGCUUACGUCGAGUAGGUAGCAUUUGUUCUUGAUAAUUUGGCAUUGUGGACAGUAAGGAAGACCUACUAAACUUUGAAGGUGAUCCACAUUCCAUCCUGCUACCUUGAGCUGCUGUGUUGCAGGUCUGCAAUUUCUGAUUCAAGUGUGAGUGAAGUGCUUGAAAAUUUAAACUAAAUUAUUUGAUAUAUUAACCCUUAAUAAUAUGCAUAGUGCAUUCAAACACCAAAAAGACUUCUCACCUUUCUCUACUUUGUGCCAUACUACUAUUUCUUUUGCCAAAAGGCAACUAAUGCUAACCUCUCCGGUAAAGUAUAUGACAAUACAUUUAGAGUGGCUAAUAUACUGAUAACAUUCAUUAAUGAGCUACACACCACAUAAACUGUGUGUAAGAACACACAGUUUCUGCCAUUCCAAUGCAGUAGACAAGAGAAAAGAAAGAUAGCAUAUUGAAACCUUUCGUCACUGAGCAAAGACUAGAUCAAAGAUCUUCAGGGAACACUCCAAACCUGGAAAUCUUGGAAAGGAAGUCUUUGAAGCAAGUCUCCCAUGUUGACAGACAACAGAAUUGAACAAUGCCCGCAUCGUACCGCUACAUUGUUGAAGGAGCUGUUGCCAGGAACACUGACCUGCAUGAUCACCAAACUAUCAUGGACUUGGAGCUGAGAAAAGCUGGUGCAUUAUAGCUGCAGUUGCAGAACAGAAAUUAUUAUUGCAGCUUUGUUGUUCUAAGAAAAAUGAGUGACAGACAAAUCUGGACACAGUUAAAAAGCAAAUCUAAGAAGAUGAAAAGGAAACUACAAUUGGAGAACAAAUGAGAGAUAGAUGGAGAAGGAGAAAUGGGAGCAUAAAAGAAAGAGUAGUUCGAAGAAGAAAGACAUGCACGCAGUCAAAUUUAACUGUCUUCGUGAAGAGAGUAGCUGUAAAAGGCAAAAGGUAGGAGGUGGAUUAGGCUUAGUAAUAAAAGAUGAGCAGACUCCUUAGACGAGGAUGCGAGGCAUUUACUUUUCCUUUCCCAAUGUCGACCUUUUAGAGCUCAAUACUUGCAGGACUUUUAGACUUUCUCUCGAAAGGAAGCAAGCGCGCAGUUGCUACUGCCGGAAAUCGAAGUGAGUCAGAGUUAAGAUGAGCCAGAAUAAAUCUAACUCAAAAGAAGAAAAUAAUCCAGGAAAGAAAAAAGAAGAAAGAGCAAGCUGUUCGUCUUCUCAUCUCUCCUUUCUGCUUCGAAGGUUAUCGAAAUCAUGAAGGAAGAGCCAUUACCAAACGAGGAAAGGAGAAGAAAAGUUUUGAAGAGAAUAAAAGAAACCAUAGUGGAAGAAAAUGGAGGAAGAGAAGGAUGCGAAGAGAUGUCAUAGGUAGAAUUCUCGAAGAAUGUGAUGAAAUCUUUUGUCUUAUCGGGAAGAAAUAUCUCAAAUCUGGAUAGAAAGGAACCGAUUCUGUGACGGAUAUGAGGAUGAUCUUGGCCCUCAAAGUUUCCCUUGGUGGGCGGCAAAGAAAUUUUGAAGCAACGAGACAUAAGAUCUCAUCAUUUACAAGACAUCCAAGGGAGAAUCGGAGACUAUUACGUGAGCAAACAAACAUCUUUAAGCAACAUUUUUUCUACAUUCUUUAUAAGAAAAGGUAGAAAAGAAUCUCUGAGAAAAGGAGAGACCUUUGACCGUACAAGAAACAAAACCUUGGCUUUUGAGUCUAAUUGAAUUGUAUCACCCUGAUAUAGAAAACAAAAAUGAAACCCCCAACAGAAGUACUAAAAAAUUGAAGGGUUUUUGUCCAGUAGAAAUGAAACUUAAUGCUUUGCAGUGGAUGUUAAAAAGUGUCAGCUAUUUUGCUUUGGAGCAUCAACUCAUAUUUCAUAAGAGCUACUUUAGGUGAAGAUAGGGCCACUGUUUCCUCAUGGGUGGGAACAUCCAAACACUAGAUAUCAUAGUUGUCAUUCAACUGUCAAAAGUAUGCAUGUGUUAUGUCAAAUCAUUUGAUUAUAUAUUGCUUUCUGCGCCAAUUCCAUUGUGAUAAAAUACUCAUCCUUAUUCCUGUGUUCUACAUGGAUGGCAGAAUGAAGACUAGAAACCAAACAGAACAGGAUCAAUAAACCUUUUUCUAUGACUCAAACAUGUGGUCAGUCCCAUGACACAAUCAUCUCAGAUAUUUACAUGCGCUUACUUUCAUGAUACGGUCACCCUCUUCAAGCUGCAAACCUCCUUAAGAACUAGAAAGAUGUUCAAGGAGCUUAGACAAAAGAUCUCCGUGCAUGAUUUGAGUGAGAGGAGGAAGAGAGAAGAGGGGAGAAGAGGAAAAGGUAAAGAACAAUCCGGCAAGAUCUAUACCGCGAGGACGGUGUUGCAGAAGUUGCAGUGGACGUAGCAAAUGCGCUCAGGUAGAAUUUGGGCAGACAUUGCCGAUCUCCCAAGGCUAGGAGGAGUAGCCUCUCUACAUAAGAUGAGGAGGAGGAGGAGGGGGAGGAGGAGGAGGAGGAAGAAGGAGAAGAAGCUAAGAGGCGAUGUGAGGAACAAGGCGUAUGGUAUGCUUGCUUCUGCAAUAUAUAAUGAAAGAAAGCUUUCCUAAUCUUCUUCCUCCUUUUUG